AUUGAACGCUGGCGGCAUGCCUUACACAUGCAAGUCGAACGGUAACAGGUCUUCGGAUGCUGACGAGUGGCGAACGGGUGAGUAAUACAUCGGAACGUGCCCGAUCGUGGGGGAUAACGGAGCGAAAGCUUUGCUAAUACCGCAUACGAUCUACGGAUGAAAGCAGGGGACCGCAAGGCCUUGCGCGGACGGAGCGGCCGAUGGCAGAUUAGGUAGUUGGUGGGAUAAAAGCUUACCAAGCCGACGAUCUGUAGCUGGUCUGAGAGGACGACCAGCCACACUGGGACUGAGACACGGCCCAGACUCCUACGGGAGGCAGCAGUGGGGAAUUUUGGAUAAUGGGCGAAAGCCUGAUCCAGCCAUGCCGCGUGCAGGAUGAAGGCCUUCGGGUUGUAAACUGCUUUUGUACGGAACGAAAAGACUCUUUCUAAUAAAGAGGGUCCAUGACGGUACCGUAAGAAUAAGCACCGGCUAACUACGUG
rnacentral:rRNA from 1 species